GACGAACGCUGGCGGCGUGCCUAAUACAUGCAAGUAGAACGCUGAAGAGAGGAGCUUGCUCUUCUUGGAUGAGUUGCGAACGGGGGAGUAACGCGUAGGUAACCUGCCUUGUAGCGGGGGAUAACUAUUGGAAACGAUAGCUAAUACCGCAUAACAAUGGAUGACACAUGUCAUUUAUUUGAAAGGGGCAAUUGCUCCACUACAAGAUGGACCUGCGUUGUAUUAGCUAGUAGGUGAGGUAAUGGCUCACCUAGGCGACGAUACAUAGCCGACCUGAGAGGGUGAGCGGCCACACUGGGACUGGGACACGGCCCAGACUCCUACGGGAGGCAGCAGUAGGGAAUCUUCGGCAAUGGGGGCAACCCUGACCGAGCAACGCCGCGUGAGUGAAGAAGGUUUUCGGAUCGUAAAGCUCUGUUGUAAGUCAAGAACGGGUGUGAGAGUGGAAAGUUCACACUGUGACGGUAGCUGACCAGAAAGGGACGGCUAACUACGUG
rnacentral:rRNA from 1 species